rnacentral:piRNA from 1 species
UGGUGUCUUCAGCUGGGGCCAGCUGUGA